GUAGGGAAUAUUGCGCAAUGGACGAAAGUCUGACGCAGCGACGCCGCGUGAGUGAUGAAGGCCUUAGGGUCGUAAAGCUCUGUUGAAUGGGAAGAAAAAAAUGACGGUACCAUUCGAGGAAGGACCGGCUAACUUCGUGCCAGCAGCCGCGGUAAUACGAGGGGUCCUAGCGUUGUUCGGAAUCAUUGGGCGUAAAGGGUGUGUAGGUGGCCAUGUAAGUCAGGUGUGAAAGCCCCGGGCUCAACCCGGGAAGUGCACUUGAUACUGCGUGGCUUGAGUACCGAAGAGGGUAGUGGAAUUCCAGGUGUAGUGGUGAAAUACGUAGAUAUCUGGAGGAACACCGGUGGCGAAGGCGGCUCACUGGUCCAUUACUGACGCUGAGGUGCGAAAGCGUGGGGAGCAAACAGGAUUAGAUACCCCUGUAGUCC
rnacentral:rRNA from 1 species